UCUUUCCUUCAGGUGGAAUGACACGUGCUAUAUAUUUAUAUCUGAAAGCAAGCAAAGCUCCUCUGCUGCUUCCGGUGAGGUGAAUUGCUGUAGCCCCUGGGGAUGUGGAACCAGAGCAAACUUCAGUGCUGUGCUCUGAGUUUGACCCUUCAGGGGAGAAAUCUUUUGGAUCCCAGAAGCGACUACCUUCUUUCCCCCUGCUCCCCCCAGCAAGUCAUCUUCUUCAUAUUUCCACCAACGUAACAAUGAACAUUCAUGUAACAUUGCUCCAGCUGAGCACACCAAACUCUGUGUUCAGUUGCAGCCAGAGGAUGACAACAAAGCCCCAGCAAAACUGCAGUUUUCUCAUUUCAGGCUGGUGGGUUGCAAAAGAGGUAGAGUUGUUUAUUUGUUUAAUGGUCCUAAAAAUACUUUUUUCCUUCUGGUAAAGCUGUGAUAAAGCAUAAAAGAAAUAGACAAGAAAUGCCUGUUCCACAAAGGAAUGAACCUUACAACAAAGGUUCUACUGGAAAAACAUUUUACUCUAAGGGUUGCUGCUAGGUCUCUGAAAUCCCUGCAUCUGUUUCCAGUAAAACCAUACCAUAUAUAAGCCCAACAGCACAACUAUUGUGGGUUGCUUCAGUUAUCACUUAGAUAUAGUCUAAGGUUUAUUAACUGUCCUUUCUCCCAAGAAAAUUAUUAACGUUUCAUGCUUGGAGCACUAAGUGGAUCCGAUUUGGAUUCUUUAGGUAUAUAGGUUAUAAAACUCUGUCAUGGAUGUAAGGUAUGACAUACAUCUUUCUGGGGAAUUUUGAAAACUAGCAUCAGAUCUGUUUUCAGGAGUAUUUUCUGUUGGAAUAGGUAAAAAGUUUUGUGUGGUAUUGUUUGAUCCCUUCAGUAAAUGAGUUUUAAUGGAAGAAGAGGGGAGAGCAGCUGAAUAGAAGGCAAAAAGUUUAUAGCACCUGCUUUCAGCUGUUCAUGAGCUUCCAUUUAGGAGCAUGCUAAUACAGCUAUUAAAAUAAGCUGCUAAACAGGUCAGUAAAAUGUUAUAGAGCUUCAUUAAAGAUAAUUUUUUUUCCAGGAUUUUUCCUCCAGGAAAAUAAGGAAGGGGAAGUGGUUACUUACCGAGUGUGAGUUCUGGAUGUCAGCAAAUUAAAGAACUAGCGUCUUCACUUCAAAGGUCUUCUCAGUAAUUGUAAUCAACACAACUUGAAAGCUAAGAUUUGAAGAGCGUUUGUUUACAAUUCAAGCGAAAACAGACUUUUGAGCUUAUGCAUUCCCAUGCUACUCUGUUGCAUAGGCCAGGAAAUGGAUUGCUUGGAUAUAGCGGCUUAGCUGAAUAAAGUUAAAAUUAGAGUCUUCA
rnacentral:lncRNA from 1 species